UCUGUGGUGGUUUUGGGUCUCUUUAUGGUGGUUUUAGGUCUCUCUGUGUUGGUUUUGGGUCUCUGUGUUGGUUUUGGGUCUCUCUGUGGUGGUUUUGCAUUUCUUUAUGGUGGUCUUAGGUCUCUCCGUGUUGGUUUUGGGUCUCUCUGUGGUGGUUUUGGGUCUCUCUGUGGUGGUUUUGGGUCUCUUUAUGGUGGUUUUAGGUCUCUCUGUGUUGGUUUUGGGUCUCUGUGUUGGUUUUGGGUCUCUCUGUGGUGGUUUUGCAUUUCUUUAUGGUGGUCUUAGGUCUCUCUGUGGUGGUUUUGGGUCUCUCUGUGGUGGUUUUGGGUCUCUCUGUGUUGGUUUUGGGUCUCUCUGUGUUGGUUUUGGGUCUCUCUGUGGUGGUUUUGGGUCUCUCUGUGGUGGUUUUGUUAAAAAAAAAAUCAAUUUUUAGCUUUAAUAGUUCCUGAGAUAUUGUUGUUAGAAAAAAACCUACUGAAAGUGUGUUGACGGGCAAUUUUAAAAAAACAUUUUGCAAGCUAAAAUUCCACAAAUAUCUUCAUAAAUAUCUAUAUUUUAUGCUGUAAAAAGUUCAGGCAAAUCAGAGAUUUCUGAGCACAAACUGAACUAAAAGUUUGAUGAUUUUAAGCUGAAUAUGGCACCAAGUUGACUCAGAUUCAGACCAGAUUUCAUACACAGCAUUUAUAAUUAAGUGUAACGUGGACGAUAAAGUUUGUCGAUAGGUGACUAUCAUUAGGUAAAGAUCAACUAUUUUCAUCUAGAAAUGCCCUGAAACAAACAUGGCGUACUGUCGUGUUCAGAUUACAGAAGGUGAACUCAGAUUCAGAACAGAUUUCGUACACGGAAUUUAUAAUUAAGUGUCACAUGGACGAUCAAGUUGAUCUGAAGGUAAAGAGCAAUCAUUGUGAUCUAGAAAAAAAUCACGGCGUUCGGAGACGUUU